AAGUUGAAGUUGACACAUGCACUUUCUCUUUCUGUGGUCUCAGAAACUCUGUUGUGUUCUUGCUGUCCUGAGGCCGGGCUGUGUGUGUUCCCUGGAGCCUGUCUUCUGUGUGUGCAGGGUUUCUAUCAGCCUCUAGCAGGACAGCAGGGCUGUCUGCCCUGUUUAUCUGGGUUUUACAGCAAUUCCACUGGAAGCCCCGUCUGCCAGCCGUGUCCUACUGGGUCCUACAGCAAUAACACGGGCUCUGCCUCCUGUACAGCCUGUGCACUAGGUUUCUACACAUCUUUGCAAAAUUCAACAUCAUGUAACCCAUGUACACAAGGCACGUACUGCAAUUCCUCCAGCUGUACUCAGUGUCAGGUCUGUCCUGCAGGCUCAGAGGCUCUACAGACCGCUUCCAAAGAAUGCACACCUUGUCGCCCAGGAAUGCACAAGCCUGCCCAUCAAACCAUGUGUCAGAUUUGCAGCAGGGGUUUCUAUCAGAUCCACUGGGGCCAGGAGAACUGUGACCGGUGUCCUGAAAACCACUACUGCCCUAGUCCUGAUGUAAAUCCGAUCGAGUGUCCCACUGAUGCGUUCUGUCCCGAGGGCAGCACAGCCCCUGGUUACUGCAUGGAGACCUUUUUUAGAAAGGCAGGGGAGACGUGUGAACUUUCUCCUGUUACCAUUGCACUGCUUGUUAUUGGAGGAGGAGUGGGUCUUCUCUUCAUCAUUAUUUUGGUUCUGCGGAGGAGAAGAGAUAAUGACAGCGAGCUUUCCCUUGCCCGGACCCCCCUCCUGCGAAAAGACCGCCCACGUGGUCGCUUCUAUGGAAUCCCUUGUGAUGCUGAGCCUGUUUAUGCAGGCUGGUGACGUCACAUGACCAUGUACAUACCUCACAGAUUUUGUCUGAAAGUUUCUAUUUAGAACUUUGAACUGUUGUAAGCUUUAUAUUGGUAAGAUACUAUUAAAUAUUUAAUGAAUGAAGACGCACUUUUCUGCAUUCCAUUUUUAAAACCUGUUUACUACUGACCGUGUUGUGAAGUUACAUCUCUUUUGAUUCCGCCUGCUUUUCAAGUUUGUAAAGUAUGAGAAACCAUUCAGUAUUUUGGGGGGUGUUUUCUUUUGUAUAAAUAUGUUAAGCCAUGGCACUGAAAGAAUUUUGGACUAAAUUGCUGGAUUAUGCUUAUUUUGUUCACAAAUGUGUGUUUGUUUAUUUAUUUUUUUUGGUACCACUAUGUUUGUCUACCUAAGGUACUGAAGGUAUAUUGUAUUAUAUAAAUUUGCAGUAUUUCUUGUAUUUAAUGUGAUGCGUCUCAUUAAUUUUAAAACAGAAUAUUUUAGACAAUUUCCAAGGUUGUAAACUGGAAUAAACAGCUUUUCACAACUUUGAUAUAAAAGUGUGGUGUCUCUAUGAAAGAUUGAUGGGUUAUUCCUGAAACUUUCCUUCAGAAAUCCCCAACAUGUGCUUUCAGUAUCUGAACUGUCAUAAGACGAAUCCAGUUUUAUUGAUUAUACUUUUAAUAAAAAAAUACUUUAAUUACAAAAAUAUAUUUUAAUAAUAAAAUUCACAUUGUUAAAAAAUGGUUUAAUCUCUUAUUGCAUAAUUCUAUAAAAUAUUUUUUUAAAUAUAUAAGCCAUAGAAGGUAUAGUAAUGCUGCUGCAUGCAUACCAGUAAGGUUUCAGUACUAUGGCAGGCAGAAUUGAAAUAAAACUAUGGUUUGAAUAUCCAUAAUACUUACAAUUGUAUUUUGACAAGACAUCAUUAUAAUUUGACUAGUCAGAGUAGUAAAUAAAGAUAUUUGCAAUUAUAAUUGGACCAGUAAGAAAUCUGAUUAGAGAUAUCAUAAUGUGUGUAGAUUGAGUGUUCUCUGCAUACCUUACGUCACUUUUACACGUGCACCAGCUACAUUUUUAUUUUGAAUUACUUGGGUAUAACUUUAUUAUACAAUUCUUAGACAAAAUUGCAGAAGAUGACAGUUUCCAAGGUAGGAUUGGUUAAUAAAAUGUUUUAAGGUGGGGCUUAACAAAGGUGCAUUUGAAUGCACAUUUUAGAUAUAUAUAAAGGAAUAUAUAUAAAGGAAUUUAUAGGAAUAUAGGAAUUUUGACUAGUCACAAAGCUAAGUGCAGAUAUCUUCCCUUUGACAAGAUCUUUCUAGUCAAAAAUCAGAUUGAGAUAUCCAUAAUUAAAUCUUUAAAUCUAAUCUGAUCUUAAAAUGAGUUUUGACUAGGAAGAAUUCCAGUUCAAGAUAUCUCAAGUUUUGCUUGGUCAAAAAUAAAAUUCAAGAUUUCUACAACUGUAAUAUGACUAGUGAUAAAUUACUUUCAGAUAAUAAUCUAAUCAUCAUCUACUAAAGUAUUUUGGAUAUCUCUAAAAAUUAUGAAUAUCUGAAAUUUGAUUAUGACUAGUCAAACACUAGUUAGAGAUUUUUGAAUUACAAUUUUUACUAAUGGCAAUUUAGUUAGAUAUAUCUCUAGUUUAAUUAUCAUUAGUAAAAUUGUAAUUUGAGAUAUCUUUAAUUACAAUUAUGUCUCUUACAAAAUCAAUAAUAGAUAUCUUUAAUUACAAUUUCUAUCAGUCCAAACUCAUUUGUAGAUAUCAGAAAACAUUUUCCACUGGAAGUCGAUGGAAGAAUAUGACUAGUCAUAAUAGCACAGUAGAUAUCUCGAAUGUAUAUUAUGACUAGUAAAAAUAACAUUGUAGAUAUCUUCAAUGCAUAUGACUAGUCAUAAUAAAGACUCCUUGAAAGGGACUUUGGUCAUAAUAACAUUGUAGGUAUCUUUACUCCAAUUACGACGAGUCAAAACUAAAUUAUAUGACUAGUACAGCUAGGUUAUUUAAUGCUAAAACGGCUUGCCAUAAUGCCACUCUCCACUGACAUGUCAGUGAAAACCAGAAGUGUCACCGGAUGUGCCACUGAGCUUAAUUAAAGCAUGUGCCAAUGGCUUCCGUGGGUCAGAUGUCACUUAAUGUUAAUAAAGCCUCUCCACUUAAGUCAAGGCUGGGAUGUGUGAUAUAUAUCUUCUGCGCUUAUAUUAUGUGUUGUUUUAACGAUAUGCAAUCUUACAUUAUCAAGCAUAUCACAAAAACACACCCAGAGUACACAAAGUCUGUUUAAAUGCAUUUAAAAUGACCAUAAGAUUCAAGAUAAGUCUUAUAUUUAUAUCAUUUAAUAUAGUUAAUCUAUAUCUAUAUAUCUCAUCUAUAUAUAAAUGUUUUAUUCUGCUCAUACAUUAAAGGACACAGUGCUAAAUGGACCAAUCACCAACGUCACAGUCAUACGCGGGUAACAAGGCCCUCUUUGAUAAAUCUGAUUAAAUAAUUUGCAGUUAAAUGCAAGUUGCACUCUAGUGUUUUUCACUUCGCACAUCUUGCAGCCAUGGAUAGUUACAAUUUCAAAAUGGUACUUUUUUUUCUUUACCCUGAGUACUUGCUUAAACUUUGGAGAGAAAGAAAAAAACACCCACUCAGGUCGAGGUGAAAAAGUGUAGCAGAAUGAUGUACCACCCGUGAAGAGUUGUGAUGGAAAAUUAUAUGGUCUCCUAUUUAAAAACAAUGCUCUUGGUGCAAACAAGAGCAAAGACAUCCAAGCAGUAGGUCUACACACUGACCAAAGUAGAAAGCAAUGCCCCCAAAAAGUCACUUCAUAAUUUACAGCAAGCUUAGCUGGAGGAAUAUGAGUAUCCAUUACUUUUGAAUAAAACAAUAUUUUGGUUCACUUUGUUGCUCAGGUCAAUGACUGCAGUGAAAACGUCUCUCUGGAGGAACCUAACAGUGGUCUCCUUGAAGUUGAUAAUGACCAGAGUGAAGACCUAACACUGGAGGAGCCAAUCAUCAGCGAUGUAUUCCAAGAUUUAGUUGGUGAUUUGUCUGAAUGGAGUGCUGACCUCCUCCACGCUCUUAACAGUGUUAUGGGCAAAUUUAAUUUAAACA
rnacentral:lncRNA from 12 species